GAUGAACGCUAGCUACAGGCUUAACACAUGCAAGUCGAGGGGAAACGACAUCGAAAGCUUGCUCUUGAUGGGCGUCGACCGGCGCACGGGUGAGUAACGCGUAUCCAACCUGCCCACCACUUGGGGAUAACCUUGCGAAAGUAAGACUAAUACCCAACGAUAUCUUUAGAAGACACCUGAAAGAGAUUAAAGAUUUAUCGGUGAUGGAUGGGGAUGCGUCUGAUUAGCUUGUUGGCGGGGUAACGGCCCACCAAGGCUACGAUCAGUAGGGGUUCUGAGAGGAAGGUCCCCCACAUUGGAACUGAGACACGGUCCAAACUCCUACGGGAGGCAGCAGUGAGGAAUAUUGGUCAAUGGACGAGAGUCUGAACCAGCCAAGUAGCGUGCAGGAUGACGGCCCUAUGGGUUGUAAACUGCUUUUAUAAGGGAAUAAAGUGAGUCUCGUGAGACUUUUUGCAUGUACCUUAUGAAUAAGGACCGGCUAAUUCCGUGCCAGCCGCCGCGGUAA
rnacentral:rRNA from 1 species